CUUCACCUUACAUCUCCAGCUAUAUGAGUGAAAUGGCCGCUGCUGCUGUUGAAUGUAGCUGAAAUCUGUUACACACCACCUAUGUAGAGGAGAAUACAGUUAAGCUGUAGCUGAUUGAUCACAAGCUUUCCACUCUGCCAGCCAUCUAGACAAUGAGUACUAAGUGUCAAGUGAAAUCGAUCAUCAUCACACUUGAUGAACAUUUCCCAUGUUUCCACGAGGCCAAGUGCAUUGAAGUCUUAAGUGGUAACAAAACCCCAAUAGAAUGAACAGCAUAAGAGUGAUGUCAGUGUCUGAGCUGAAGCAACUGUAGACACACAUUCUAGUGAUAAAGAAAGGUGAUAUCCGUUAAAGAUCCAUUGAUGUUGAUGAAGUACUUUUGAUGGGUA